rnacentral:miRNA from 14 species
AUCUCUCUCUCGCUCUGUGUGUGUGUGUGAGUGUGUGCGUGCCUCUCUUUNAAAGAGAGGCACGCACACACUCACACACACACACAGAGCGAGAG